rnacentral:tRNA from 1 species
UCCUUGUUAGCAUAGUGGUGAGUAUCCCCGCCUAUCACGUGGGAGACUGGGGUUUGAUUCCCUGACGGGGAG